ACUACCUGCCAUACAGCCUCCCGGAACGCCUGUGCUUCUCUGGCGUGGAAAGGGUCCUGGCGCGUCCGACAUGAAGGUGUGGGCCGUGCUAGUGGUGCUGAUAGCCUCCCUGGUGGUGGUAUCGAGGGCCUUGGUGCUGUGUCCUCAGUUCCCGUCCUGCUGCUACCCCUACGACACCUGCCACAUGCUCUGUCCAUCGUGUAAAGAGGCUCGCUUCUUCGUCCGCGGCGUGAGGAGGUUCCCCAAGUACAGACGGAAGAAGCCUUGCCAAGUCGGUGGGACGCUCCUCAACCCAGAUCCCUACGCCUUCCCCGAUGUCAUUCCCUUUCCGAACCCUCCCAUCUGUCUGUAAGAGUAAACGUCAUCGCCACUGCACUUUCAUUCCUUCACGUCAUGCAAGGUCACCGUGAAUCAUCUUUGCAGUGACGUCAGGAUACCGAUCUUAACUUAGUUUCUUCAUACGUUUCGUCAAUGCAUGAAACGAAAAGAAAAAUGUUCGUGUGAGUGUGUUAAUUCUUGUAUAUUCUCAA